rnacentral:rRNA from 1 species
UACAGGGGGUGCAAACGUUGCUCGGAAUUAUUGGGCGUAAAGCGCACGUAGGCGGUUCGUUAUGUCAGAUGUGAAAGCCCUUGGCUCAACUGAGGAAGUGCAUCUGAAACUGGCGAGCUAGAGUAUGUAAGAGGGUCGCGGAAUUCCCGGUGUAGAGGUGAAAUUCGUAGAUAUCCGGAGGAACACCAGUGGCGAAGGCGACUUCCUGGCCUGUUCUUGACGCUGAGGCGCGAAAAGCUGGGGGGAGCAAACGGG